rnacentral:rRNA from 1 species
AGCGAACGCUGGCGGCAGGCUUAACACAUGCAAGUCGAGCGGGCGUAGCAAUACGUCAGCGGCAGACGGGUGAGUAACGCGUGGGAACGUACCUUUUGGUUCGGAACAACACAGGGAAACUUGUGCUAAUACCGGAUAAGCCCUUACGGGGAAAGAUUUAUCGCCGAAAGAUCGGCCCGCGUCUGAUUAGCUAGUUGGUGAGGUAACGGCUCACCAAGGCGACGAUCAGUAGCUGGUCUGAGAGGAUGAUCAGCCACAUUGGGACUGAGACACGGCCCAAACUCCUACGGGAGGCAGCAGUGGGGAAUAUUGGACAAUGGGCGCAAGCCUGAUCCAGCCAUGCCGCGUGAGUGAUGAAGGCCCUAGGGUUGUAAAGCUCUUUUGUGCGGGAAGAUAAUGACGGUACCGCAAGAAUAAGCCCCGGCUAACUUCGUGCCAGCAGCCGC